GUGCGCAGCCCUAAGCAAACUCUGACCCAUGCGUACGCAUGGUUUGGAGGAAAAGGAGAAUUGGCGACACAGACGGUGUGGUGGUGAACUGAAGUCAGACCGAAGAAUUGCAGAGUGAGAAGAACGAUUGUUUUAUCAUCGCCCUUCAUCAAUUUCAUUUCAACCCGUAUCAUGCGUUAAAUCCUAAUCAGAAUAAUUUAAGUCCACUGCGUUAUUUCUCAGUUAUAACUCCAGAAAUAUCUCCUUAGAAUAGAAAUAAAAAUAAAUUCUCUAUAUUUAAUCCCGUCACUCCAUACUGUCCACUGACGGCGCGACUGCAUGGAAUAAAGCAUCUGUCCAACAUGUCAAUAACAUAAUAUUUUUAUGUGACACUGUAAACACAUGAUCAAAUGUCAAUUAAAUCCCAAGUGUGAAAAACCAAGCCACACUCAUCACAAUCGUUGUCCGUUACUCUUGAUGCUUUUCAUGACAAAUCAGGCAUUAAAAAGGGGUUAUGUUCAAGAACAUUUUACGUGGGUAAUUACAAACUGAUUAUCCAAGGCGUUCUCGUCAGUCUUAUUACCGUAACCCUAUAAAUACAGAGGUGAGCGCCGUGGUAAUGCUGCACCAUAUGGCACUUCUGGCGGACCAUGCAGGAUUCGGAGCUAGAGGGUAUUUAGGGACCAUAACGAUUUAUUGGUAGGCUACAUAAAAAUAUGUAACUCUAUGUCAGCUACUGACAGAGUUCACUGCUGCAGCAACAUGUUGCCUCUCACUCUGCUUUUUGUUGUUGGCGAUUCCAAUCCCGUGACCGCCGAACAAAACUACCUUUUGGGCCUCCAUCUCACCCACAAGUGUCUCCACUUCAACCUCCGUGAAAUUUCGCUUUUUUGAUUUUCUCAGUACUUCUGCCAUUGUUUCCAACAAGACAUAAUACCGGCAUCUGAGUCUGUUUUAUAUGCAGAUGCAUUCAUGAGGUAAUUUGCAUUGACCAUUUAUGGUUAAAAAGGGGCGUGUAGAGGGCGGAACGUGAAGCUGAUUCAGCUGCGCACAAUUAUAGUCAGUAUGUGAUUUAUAAAGCAAAGAUUGCGUACAGGUGUGCGUACGCAGUGUUUUAUAAAUCCGAAUAUUUUUUGGCGCACGCAAAACUUGGCUUCUGGGCGUACGCACAUUUUUAGUAACGAUCCCACGCACAGUUUUAUAAAUGAGACCCCAGAACAAGCUGAAGACAGUUGCUGUGUUCGAAAUCGUUCCCUAUGCACUCACUCUUCCCCAUAUAGUUUUCAUGAUAUAGUGCCCUAUAUAGGGAACGAACAAACGAGAAUUCGGACACUACGCUGAACAUUUCUAAAUGUCAUUUGCCUCAGUAAAUGCGCCGGGUAUUUGUGUGACGCAGACAGAUGCGCCCACAUCAUGUAAACAAACGCACUCAAGAGGAAAGCUGGAGGUUGUAUUCAUAUAAAUCUUAUAUCGAUAGUUAUGAUAUUAUAACUCUAGUUAUAUGAUUGUAGGCGUAGCCGUCUAGGCUUCACCUUAUGGGCUUGUCCCGUGCGCGUGCUCGCG
rnacentral:lncRNA from 1 species